GAACAUUUGUUAUUAUAUGUUAUGAGAUUAAAAUUAUCGAAUAUUUAUAUAUUUGUACAUGAAUAAGUCUCUAAAUUAAAACUCUGUAUGUUGAUACUAUUAAAUUUAAAAUGGGGACACAAAGGAAAAAAGUGAAACAAAAAAAAAAUAGAUUCUAUUUCUCACAUGCACACACCAGAACAUGAAUACCUUACAAACUGCACACAUCACUCACAGAUAUAGCAAUUCACGCGCAUGAAAAUAAAAUACAUGCAUACAAAAAAUGAGAUUGGAAUAAAAAAUCAAUAAAAAUAGAAUAGUUGGGAACGGAAAAAAAAUCAGUGAAAACAGAAACGAGAGGGAGAUGAAAAAUUAUUUAAAGGAUAAAAGGAAAAUUGUCAAUCUUUCUUUGAAUUUUUCGGCGAAUUUUCUCGCCGGAAAUACAUCAAAAAAUUCACCAUUGUCUGAAUUCAUUCUAUUUUAUCAAAAUUCGACCCUUAUGGUCGGUUCCGGCGAAUCAACUCGCUGGAAAAACUUCGCCGGCCCUGCGUCGUCACACCCCUCCCCAGAUCUAGUCAGAAUCUUUUCCAUCGACGAAAAACCGCCGCUGCCGUCCCCUCUCCCGUCCCCAUUCAUCGAUGUAACCCAAAACCAGCGUAAUUCCGCCAGUAACCCCUGAACCGGCGGAAAAUCACCAAAUCUGUUGUGACUCAUCGAUCUCCUUCCUUCUCCCUUUUCCAGCGAUCUCCAUUGCUGCCAUAAAUAUUGUAAAAAAAUAAAAUAAAUUUUUUUAUUUUUUUUUCUUUUGGAAUACUGAAUGUACGUAGAAGAGAAGAUAUCUUUAUAUUUCUUUUAUUAUUGUUUCCUUUUAGGAUAAAUACCCAUGUCCCUAUGUUUGCGUAUAAUAUAAAAUUAUUUUAUUUAAUAAUUAGUAAAAAAUAAAGUAUGAAUAAAUUUGAUACUAAUAAAGUUUAUUAUUUAUUUUUUGAAAUUUCGUGUGUGAUUUGUCUUAUAAUAUAUAAUUUGAGUUUAUUUAAUUUAAAAUGAUUAUUUUUACAAAAAAAAAUUAUUAUUAUAAUAUAUGUAGAUUUGUAUAUUUUAUUAACAAAAUUUAAUAAUUAUUUAUUUAAUUAAUUAUGUUAAAUGAAUUUUGCUUUAAUUUAUUAUUACGGGUUUAGAUAAAUUUUAUACGCGUUUUAAACAUUCGUCUCAAUUAAGAAUGUGGCAUACGUAUCUUUUGAAACAUUUAAAAUUUAAGGAUGCAAUAAUGCACCUUGAUAAACAAUUUUUCUAAAAUUAUUUUUUUCGUUGAUUUAUUUAAUAUAAGAUAAUAGACAAGUUUUUUUCGGUAUAGUAAAAUAAGCAAAUUUAGGCCUUAACACAAUUUAUUGAAAUAGUUUUAGUUAAGUACAAGUCAAUAGAAGCGACUGUGCUAGAACCGCGGGACUCGAGGGGUGCCUAACACCUUUACUUCGGUCAAUAGAAUUCCUUACCCGGUCUUCUGUUUUCACAAACCAAAUAAAAGAGUCAUUUCCUUUUGACUAGGGAUUCAAAAAGGUGACUUGGAACACCAUUACUCAAUUCCAAGUGGCGACUCUGUAAAUAAAAUAAUCCCUAUUCAAAACCAUCACUUGAAUUGAAAAAACACUUCAACCUCGACCCUCGAGCCAAAAAGGGGUGUGACAUCUCUGGCGACUCUGUUGGGGAAUAAUAAGAAUUCAAACUUUUUAUAUUGACUUAUACUUGCUUUAAUUAUUGUUGAUAUUGUGUUUGUUGGCCUUACGUCCUACUUAUCGCUUAUUUACCGCUUUGAUAUUGAUUGAACUGUAUUAUAUACUGUCUUCUCUUGCGCACCCCCUCUGAGUCUCUGAACUAGGAUAGAAGGAAUGCAACGCAUGCAUCCUACUUUCUUUUUGAGAUAGCCGGAGUGUCAAGACACCUGGUGAAGGAUUAUAGUCACACAUGUUAGGCGGGGCUCGGAUCGACAACAAAGGCAGUGUUGCCCUGAUACUGACCAAGUUGUCCCUCCCCGGCUCGAGUGUCCGCUCGGGUAAGCCAGUCUAGACACCUAUCUCUAUUAGGCUUAAUCCUAGAAGAACUAAAAACUCAGAAUCUGGUUAUCCCUAUUAGGUGCCGCUUUAUUUGCAUCAUAUGCAUUUGACUUAGCGGAACUUGGUGCAGGGGUUGGGUCUGUCUAGGACAGGUGACCUACUUUAUAAAGACCAACAUGUGCAUCCUUCGUGCUCUUUGACAUUUGUUUGGAAGGUUGUUUGUUUGUUGACCGGCUUUGGGCAACUUUAAAAUCCAAGAGAUUAAAUUAUCCUCACAUUUAGUGAAUCAUUUUUUUAUCUUUUUUUUAAAAAAGGAAAAUUUUAUUUUUAAAAGAAAGAAAAUUUUUUAGUAAUAUAGUUUUAUGGUCUUCAUGAACUACAAUGGUCUGAUUCUCACUCUUUAGUGGGAUACGUAGGAAGUCCUUCUCAGGAUACGACCCUAUCUUUUGAAAAUUAUUCAUAGACUUAUUGGGGAAUAUUUUGAAAAUAUAAUUACUUUCAUAAUUAUUUUUCUAAUUCUCAAGUCUAAUUUAUAUAUAUUUUAAUAGCCCUGAAUCUUUAGGGAUCAUGAGGCUAAGUUUUUACAAAAUAAAUAAUAUAUAUAAAUCAUAAUAGCCUGAACCUUUAGGAGUCGUGAGCUGAAUUUUUGUAAAAUAAUAAAAUAUGUAAACAUAUAUUUUAACAGUCCUGAACCUUUAGAGGUCGUGAGGCUGAAAUUUUUAUACAACUUCAUACAUAAAACAAUCAUUCUUCUUUUCUUUAUUUCUAAAUCAUUUUAUUUGAUUUUUGUUCUUUUUAAAUGUACUUAGGGGGUAUUGUCUCUAAACAUAUAGUUAAAAUUCUCUGGAGGUCUGUUAUUGCAAAAUUUUUGAUUGAGUCAACUUAAAUAAGUAUUUUUCCUAAAAAUAUUAUCAUUCAUGUUUCUCUCACUUUGAUUUUUAAUAAAAUAGUUCUUUACAUCUAGGUCUUAAUUUAAUGAUCGCACUAGUUCUCACGAGUCAAGUUAAAACUUCUUUUCAAAAAUUAAUGAAUUAAGUCCUGCCUAAGUCUAGACAUUUAUUAAUCUCAUGUCCUUAUCAAUAGGUAUAAAAUGUCUCCUCCUGUUCAAGGAAAAUGUCCAAGAGAAAGAGGGAUGGGAGUGUACCGCUUCAGGUUGUAGAUUGUACCCCUUUGUAGCUUUGGUUGUGGUGGAACGAAAUGGAUACAUUCGAUUAUGACGAGAUACAUUAGUAUUUGAGUUUUUUGACGAGUAUUAUGUCAAUCAAGCCUAAUAGGGAGGUGAUUGAUGCAUUACUAAUCUUUUGGGACCCGAAGAACAAUGUGUUUCGCUUUUAGGAUUUUGAGUUGACUUUGACUUCAGAGGAGAUAGCGACCUAUGUUGGAUAUGGGGAUAUGCAUUGGAAGAAACUUAUAGCCCCAAGACUCAUUUCGAUAAACAGAUUCUGCAAGCUCAUGAACAUACGAAACUCAAAAGAAGAAUCAAUGAAAAAAGGUUGGGUUUUCUUGCAGUUUUUGUAUGACAGAUAUGGAAGACAAUAGGGGUUUGAAAAGUACGGUAAAUAGCUUUAUAAUAAAGAAAGUUUUGAGGCUUGUAAAGUUCACAGAGGAUUUGCAUUCAUGGUAGCCUUUCUAGGCACUAUGGUUUUCCCGAGGAGAGAAGAAAAAAUUAAUAUUCGUUUAACGGGGGUGGUACAGAUACUGAUUAAAAAAGAUUACACUGUGGUACCAAUGAUCCUGGUAGAUAUCUACCGAGCUUUGACCGUUUGUCAGAAAGGAAAGAGUUUUUUUUAGGGAUGUAAUAUCUUAUUAUAGAUGUAGAUUGUGGAGCAUAUUUACCGACGUCCUACAAUGGCAAGGUUUAAUCCUGAAUGAUUUAAUCGCAUCAAAGAUUACGAAGAGAGGAUAGAGAAAUAUAAAUGCCCAGAAGGAGUUAGAGAUUAGGAUAAGCUUUUUCGCUCUCUGAUAGCAGAUAAAAUCACUUAGAAUCUCCCUUGGUUCCCUUGGAGGCAAGUCAUACACAGUUCUGUCAUUCGACCGUUGUUAUUAUUAAUGGGUAUUAGGGGUGUUCAACCGUAUGUUUCAUUGAGAGUUUUACGUCGGCUAGGAAGACGUCAAAUAAUUUCCAUUAUGGAAAAUAUGACCGAGUUUGUAUUUGAGGUCAAACCAGAGAUCCCACUUCCAGAGAAAUUGGCCCAGUAGAUUUGGGAGGGUUGCCGUAUCAUGGGGAUUGAAAUGAUGGUCAUAGAGCGUGAGAAAGGAGAAGUGCACCCUGAUUAUCGUGAAUGGUUUGAAGAAUAAUUGAGUCCGCCAGUCAGACCAGAAAGAUCGGUUAGGGGAACUAUAGAUUAGGAAGCUGCAAUCAGGAUAGGAAUUGAGAGAGCCAUGCGAGAACAUCAUGAGGCCAACCAAGCUUUGAGAGAGAAAUUAGAGCAUGCCAGGGCAAAAAUAGACGAACAACAAAGGGAAUUUGCUGAAGAGAAAGCUAAAUCAGUAGAUAUUGAGGUUGCACUUCGGGGACAAAUCAAACUGGCUACCGCUAGGGGGUCACACGUUGCAGAACUUGCCGCAUCUCGCCGACAGCAACUGCAAGAAGUUGAAAAGAAUAUACAAGAAGAAUUUGAUCGAGAGAGAUCUCAAUGGAUCCGUGAAAAAGGAUUAUUGCGAGAACAGUUGGAGUUUGUUUCUACUCGUGAACAGCGUGCAAGAGAGAUGGUUGAUUUCUGAGAUCGACAAGCCCAUGAAUGGGAUCAGGCCUUCAGUUCCCUUUGAGGAAAGGUCCAUCGUGUAGUACAGGAUACUGCCAGAAUGGGUUUGGAUUAUCAUCAGUUGGAUCGUGAAGACUUUUUGGCUCAAGUUCCAGCUUUUGCACAACGUCUCACUACUUUAUUGGAGGACAUAUAUUUGAGUUUGGGAGGACAUAUUAAGCCGAAGUCUCCUUAAAUGGAUAGUUGUUUUCUUUGUCAUAGUUUUUCAUUUUCAGUUUUAAAACUUCUUGUUUAGAUGUUAUGUCUUUUAGUUUUAUUUGUCAGAUGUCAGUUAGUAGAUUUUAUUUUAGGAGUUAGGUCAGUUAUUUUGUUGUAUUUAUAUUAUGAAAUGUAAUGAAGUUGACUGUUUAUUUCUAUAUAAAUUACAUAUGUUUUACUUUACUUACCUUAUUUAAUUUCUUCAAUAAAAAAAAGACAAAACAAUCAUUUUGUUAAAUUCCUCCCGAACUACGCAAGAUCUGAUUCAUAUACUGGCAUGAUACGUAGACAACCCUCCAAAGAGUUCGAUCAUAACUUUUGAAAAAGCAUGCCUGGAAAAGCCAGGAUGAAACACAAAGCCUUCCAUGAUCGGUUGAAAAAUGCAUAUAGAAGCAUGAUAUACAACGUGGCGUUAUAAUGUGUUGAAUAUAUAACACUUACUUGUUUGCUACUUGAUAUAGAAAGAUAAAGUAAUUGGUGGUUGGUUUGUGGUUUAAACCGAUAUCACAUUCGUACAAUACCAGAUAUAAGGGAAAAAGAAAAAUGACCCACAGAGAAGGUAUAGGGUCUGACAGUGAAGAAGAUCAAAAUCAGUUGAUUUCACAGGAAGUAGCAUCAAUGGAAGAACUUCAGUUAUUGAAACAACAGAUGACAGAGAUGUACUAAGCUUGUUUGAAUGGACAAGCCCCGUCUUCUUCAAUACCUGAACUUUCUACUUCGAAUGAUCCAAAUCCUGUUCCAGCUCAAACUAGUGAUCCAUUUUACCCACCAGGAUUCGGCCCUUUUGCUAAUAUGUCUGGUGUUGCUGGUACUUCUACCAUACGCCCACCAAUCCGUCUGUCACAAAUAACCCAUUUUUUACUUUUAUAGCACUAGCUACUGCAAGUACUCAACCGACAGUACCAAAGAAUAUGAGGUAACCAAGUCAUGAUCUGUUGUAUCCUCCUGAAAUGACUUUCAAAUUCCAAAAUCCACAUUAUCAUGCAUAUCAACAUGAUUCUCCAAUCAUGAUUGAGAAGAUUGUUAAAAAUGAGGAACAAGAGGAAAUAGCUAGGAAAGUAAGAAGCUUGAAGCAGAGUAUGAGAAGUAUGCAAGGAUUAGGUGGACCAAAAAUUGUUUCAUACAAAGAUUUAUGUAUGUUUUCGGACGUCCAUUUUCUUCUAGGGUUCAAAAUGCCAAAGUUUGAGAAAUACGAAGGUCAUGGCGAUCCUGUAGCCCAUUUGAAGAAGUUCUGCAAUCAAUUAAGAGGAGUAGGAGGAAAAGAAGAACUAUUGAUGGCUUACUUUGGAGAAAUCCUAACAAGAAUAGCUUCUGAAUGGUUUAUUGACCAAGACAUUUCUCGUUGGCACGUAUGGGAUGACAUGGCUCGAGAUUUUGUUCAAUAAUUUCAAUAUAACAUUGAGAUAAUGCCAAAUCGCACUACGCUUGCUAACAUGAGAAAAAAGAUGACUGAAAAUUUUUGAGAAUAUGCUAUCAGAUGGAGAGAGCAGGCUUCAAGAGUCAGAACAUUGAUAAAGGAAUCUAAAAUUAUCGAUAUCUUUUUGCAAGCUCAAGAACCCAAUUAUUUCCAUCACUUAAUUUCUACUAUUGGAAGCACAUUUACUGAAGUUAUUAAGGUUGGAGAUAUGGUAGAGAAUGGAAUAAAGUCAUGAAAUUUUAUCAGCCAGGCCGCUUUGAAAGCAACAACGCAGGCAAUUCAAAGUGUUGCCGGAAGUUUCGGGGGGAAGAAAAGAAAAGAGGACGUAGCAACUAUCGUACCAGGUCCACGACAAAAUUGGAGAGGUGCGCGUCAACCAUAUGCAUAAAAUACAUUAUAUUUCAUUCAAUCCCCCUAAUAUCCUAUUUCCAAUGCACAACCAUAUGCUCAGGAUCCUUCUUACCCGCAAUGGCAUGCACCAGCUAUCCAAAAUCAUCCACUGAUCCCGCAAAUUCAAAGAGGACCUCCUAGAUCUAAUUUUAGACCUAGAGUAGAAUACAAAAGGGAUAACAUGGGCAAAGAUAAUUUCACUCCUAUUGGAAUAUCUUACACAGAGGAGAUAGCGACCUAUGUUGGAUAUGGGGAUAUGCAUUGGAAGAAACUUAUAGCCCCAAGACUCAUUUCGAUAAACAGAUUCUGCAAGCUCAUGAACAUACGAAACUCAAAAGAAGAAUCAAUGAAAAAAGGUUGGGUUUUCUUGCAGUUUUUGUAUGACAGAUAUGGAAGACAAUAGGGGUUUGAAAAGUACGGUAAAUAGCUUUAUAAUAAAGAAAGUUUUGAGGCUUUUAAAGGUCUCAGGGGAUUUGCAUUCAUGGUAGCCUUUCUAGGCACUAUGGUUUUCCCGAGGAGAGAAGAAAAAAUUAAUAUUCGUUUAACGGGGGUGGUACAGAUACUGAUUAAAAAAGAUUACACUGUGGUACCAAUGAUCCUGGUAGAUAUCUACCGAGCUUUGACCGUUUGUCAGAAAGGAAAGAGUUUUUUUUAGGGAUGUAAUAUCUUAUUAUAGAUGUAGAUUGUGGAGCAUAUUUACCGACGUCCUACAAUGGCAAGGUUUAAUCCUGAAUGAUUUAAUCGCAUCAAAGAUUACGAAGAGAGGAUAGAGAAAUAUAAAUGCCCAGAAGGAGUUAGAGAUUAGGAUAAGCUUUUUCGCUCUCUGAUAGCAGAUAAAAUCACUUAGAAUCUCCCUUGGUUCCCUUGGAGGCAAGUCAUACACAGUUCUGUCAUUCGACCGUUGUUAUUAUUAAUGGGUAUUAGGGGUGUUCAACCGUAUGUUUCAUUGAGAGUUUUACGUCGGCUAGGAAGACGUCAAAUAAUUUCCAUUAUGGAAAAUAUGACCGAGUUUGUAUUUGAGGUCAAACCAGAGAUCCCACUUCCAGAGAAAUUGGCCCAGUAGAUUUGGGAGGGUUGCCGUAUCAUGGGGAUUGAAAUGAUGGUCAUAGAGCGUGAGAAAGGAGAAGUGCACCCUGAUUAUCGUGAAUGGUUUGAAGAAUAAUUGAGUCCGCCAGUCAGACCAGAAAGAUCGGUUAGGGGAACUAUAGAUUAGGAAGCUGCAAUCAGGAUAGGAAUUGAGAGAGCCAUGCGAGAACAUCAUGAGGCCAACCAAGCUUUGAGAGAGAAAUUAGAGCAUGCCAGGGCAAAAAUAGACGAACAACAAAGGGAAUUUGCUGAAGAGAAAGCUAAAUCAGUAGAUAUUGAGGUUGCACUUCGGGGACAAAUCAAACUGGCUACCGCUAGGGGGUCACACGUUGCAGAACUUGCCGCAUCUCGCCGACAGCAACUGCAAGAAGUUGAAAAGAAUAUACAAGAAGAAUUUGAUCGAGAGAGAUCUCAAUGGAUCCGUGAAAAAGGAUUAUUGCGAGAACAGUUGGAGUUUGUUUCUACUCGUGAACAGCGUGCAAGAGAGAUGGUUGAUUUCUGAGAUCGACAAGCCCAUGAAUGGGAUCAGGCCUUCAGUUCCCUUUGAGGAAAGGUCCAUCGUGUAGUACAGGAUACUGCCAGAAUGGGUUUGGAUUAUCAUCAGUUGGAUCGUGAAGACUUUUUGGCUCAAGUUCCAGCUUUUGCACAACGUCUCACUACUUUAUUGGAGGACAUAUAUUUGAGUUUGGGAGGACAUAUUAAGCCGAAGUCUCCUUAAAUGGAUAGUUGUUUUCUUUGUCAUAGUUUUUCAUUUUCAGUUUUAAAACUUCUUGUUUAGAUGUUAUGUCUUUUAGUUUUAUUUGUCAGAUGUCAGUUAGUAGAUUUUAUUUUAGGAGUUAGGUCAGUUAUUUUGUUGUAUUUAUAUUAUGAAAUGUAAUGAAGUUGACUGUUUAUUUCUAUAUAAAUUACAUAUGUUUUACUUUACUUACCUUAUUUAAUUUCUUCAAUAAAAAAAAGACAAAACAAUCAUUUUGUUAAAUUCCUCCCGAACUACGCAAGAUCUGAUUCAUAUACUGGCAUGAUACGUAGACAACCCUCCAAAGAGUUCGAUCAUAACUUUUGAAAAAGCAUGCCUGGAAAAGCCAGGAUGAAACACAAAGCCUUCCAUGAUCGGUUGAAAAAUGCAUAUAGAAGCAUGAUAUACAACGUGGCGUUAUAAUGUGUUGAAUAUAUAACACUUACUUGUUUGCUACUUGAUAUAGAAAGAUAAAGUAAUUGGUGGUUGGUUUGUGGUUUAAACCGAUAUCACAUUCGUACAAUACCAGAUAUAAGGGAAAAAGAAAAAUGACCCACAGAGAAGGUAUAGGGUCUGACAGUGAAGAAGAUCAAAAUCAGUUGAUUUCACAGGAAGUAGCAUCAAUGGAAGAACUUCAGUUAUUGAAACAACAGAUGACAGAGAUGUACUAAGCUUGUUUGAAUGGACAAGCCCCGUCUUCUUCAAUACCUGAACUUUCUACUUCGAAUGAUCCAAAUCCUGUUCCAGCUCAAACUAGUGAUCCAUUUUACCCACCAGGAUUCGGCCCUUUUGCUAAUAUGUCUGGUGUUGCUGGUACUUCUACCAUACGCCCACCAAUCCGUCUGUCACAAAUAACCCAUUUUUUACUUUUAUAGCACUAGCUACUGCAAGUACUCAACCGACAGUACCAAAGAAUAUGAGGUAACCAAGUCAUGAUCUGUUGUAUCCUCCUGAAAUGACUUUCAAAUUCCAAAAUCCACAUUAUCAUGCAUAUCAACAUGAUUCUCCAAUCAUGAUUGAGAAGAUUGUUAAAAAUGAGGAACAAGAGGAAAUAGCUAGGAAAGUAAGAAGCUUGAAGCAGAGUAUGAGAAGUAUGCAAGGAUUAGGUGGACCAAAAAUUGUUUCAUACAAAGAUUUAUGUAUGUUUUCGGACGUCCAUUUUCUUCUAGGGUUCAAAAUGCCAAAGUUUGAGAAAUACGAAGGUCAUGGCGAUCCUGUAGCCCAUUUGAAGAAGUUCUGCAAUCAAUUAAGAGGAGUAGGAGGAAAAGAAGAACUAUUGAUGGCUUACUUUGGAGAAAUCCUAACAAGAAUAGCUUCUGAAUGGUUUAUUGACCAAGACAUUUCUCGUUGGCACGUAUGGGAUGACAUGGCUCGAGAUUUUGUUCAAUAAUUUCAAUAUAACAUUGAGAUAAUGCCAAAUCGCACUACGCUUGCUAACAUGAGAAAAAAGAUGACUGAAAAUUUUUGAGAAUAUGCUAUCAGAUGGAGAGAGCAGGCUUCAAGAGUCAGUCCAUCGAUAAAAGAAUCUGAAAUUAUCGAUAUCUUUUUGCAAGCUCAAGAACCCAAUUAUUUCCAUCACUUAAUUUCUACUAUUGGAAGCACAUUUACUGAAGUUAUUAAGGUUGGAGAUAUGGUAGAGAAUGGAAUAAAGUCAUGAAAUUUUAUCAGCCAGGCCGCUUUGAAAGCAACAACGCAGGCAAUUCAAAGUGUUGCCGGAAGUUUCGGGGGGAAGAAAAGAAAAGAGGACGUAGCAACUAUCGUACCAGGUCCACGACAAAAUUGGAGAGGUGCGCGUCAACCAUAUGCAUAAAAUACAUUAUAUUUCAUUCAAUCCCCCUAAUAUCCUAUUUCCAAUGCACAACCAUAUGCUCAGGAUCCUUCUUACCCGCAAUGGCAUGCACCAGCUAUCCAAAAUCAUCCACUGAUCCCGCAAAUUCAAAGAGGACCUCCUAGAUCUAAUUUUAGACCUAGAGUAGAAUACAAAAGGGAUAACAUGGGCAAAGAUAAUUUCACUCCUAUUGGAAUAUCUUACACCAGUUUAUUUCCUAGACUGAAAAAAAUAAAUGUUCUAAACCCAAUUGAGAGAAGAAUCCAAAACCCUUCUCCGAAGAACUUGGACUAUUCUAGAAGAUGUGAAUAUUGUUCUGAUGCCCUAGGGCAUGACACAGAGAGAUGUUGGUAUCUGAAAAGAGCUAGUCAAGGACUGAUUGACACCCAACUGAUCAUGGUACAAAGUACAGACGCUCCAAAUAUCAAUCAAAAUCCACUGCCAAAUCAUAAUAAAGUAAACAUGCUCGAAGUGAUACCCAGUGGUAAAGAUGCUGUAAUAUCCUUCAAGCCGAUCAUUAAAAUUAAAACUGAUGCGGAAAAAUCAACAAAUGAUAUAGACUUGACAAAAGAAAAACCUGUAGAAGCAGAGGUGGUGAUAUUAAAACUCGAAUCAUCGAAUGUUCCCUUGGUGAUGGAGCAAGAUAUUUCAAAAAAUGAUGGGUCAAGUCAAGUAAAGCCAAAACUCAUUGUUCCUAGAAGAUCCCCUAAGCCUCUCAUAAUCAUAAAAGGAGCUUCCGUACCUCCCAUUAUUAUUAAACCAGUGUCACAGUUGCCUAUGGUUAAUACUAAGGCAAUCCCUUGGAACUAUGAUCGCAUUGUGGUGAUGCACAAGGGGAAGGAAGUGAUUGAAGAUGUGGAUGAAGUAGGGGGAUUAACUCGAUUUGGAAGAUGUUAUGCCCCAGUAGAGUUAAGAAAGAAUAAACAAGGCAAUGAAGAACGAAUGACGGUCAAGAAGCUUGUUACUGACGAAGAAGCUGAAGAAUUCUUAAAGAAAAUGAAAUUGCCAGAAUAUUCUGUUGUAGAAUAGUUGAAGAAGAAACCAACACAAUUUUCUUUGUUGUCUUUAUUAAUACAUUCAGAAGAACACCGUAAGGCUAUAAUGAAGAUUCUUAACGAAGCAUGUGUUCCCAGUGAGAUUAAAGUGAAUCAGCUGGAAAAAGUUAUUGAAAGAAUCCUUGAAGCAAAUAAGAUUACUUUCUCAGAUGAUGAAUUGCCUGUGGAAGGUACUAGACAUAAUAAAGGUCUCUACAUUACUGUGAAAUAUGAGCAUUCCAUCGUCACUCGAGUGUUAAUUGAUGGAGGAUCAGGCGCUAACAUUUGUUCGAUGUCAACUUUACAAAAUUUAAAUGUAAAUAUAGAAAGAAUCUGACCUAACAAUGUAUGCAUCAAAGGUUUUGACUGAUCAAAAAUCGAUACCAUUGGUGAAAUAAAACUCAUUUUGACAAUCGGGCCUGUGGAUUUUGCUAUGGAUUUCCAAGUGCUGAACAUUGAUGCUUCAUAUAAUAUGUUAUUGGGAAGGCCAUGGAUUCAUAGGGCUAAAGCAGUCGCAUCAACAUUGCACCAAAUGGUCAAAUUUGAACAUAACAAACAAGAGAUAGUUGUUUAUGGUGAAGGAGACUUAUCCAUGUAUAAAGACUACCCCGUUUCCUUCAUCGAAGUAGAUACUGCAAACAGAGUAUUAAUUCAUUAACCUUUUGAGGUAGUGGCUGUUGAGCAUAUCCUCAAGGGAAAUCUCAUCGCAAGACCACAAUUAUCCUCUACAUCUGUUAUGGUAGUGAAUGAAAUGUUGAAGCAUGGUUUCGAACCAGGGAAAGGUCUAGGAUUGUUUCUGCAAGGCAGGGUUAAUCCAGUAAACCUCCAUGAGAACUUUAGUACUUUUGGUUUGGGAUACGUGCCCACUGCUGAAGAUAUAAAAAAGAAAGAGUCAUGGACACUUACCAAGCCGAUACCGCCACUUCACGAAUCCUUCAUCAAAGUCAGCAUUGUCGAGUCCUCUAUGUUACCUGCAACAGAGUCAGUGAAUGAUGAUGAUACAGAGUUGAUUGGAAUUUUCCAGAAUAUGUUCAUUGAAGCUGAUAUGGUUGAAAUUAGGGAAGGUACCAGCAAUGCAGAUGUGCAGUUUAUCGGCCCUGAUGUCCAGCUUAACAAUUGGGGGGCCACUCCUCUCCCUACUAUGAAAGAGUCUUGGUAGUUUGUUUGUUUUUCUUUUAGUCUUGGUAGCUCAUUUUUCUUUUCAUAAUUUGAAUAAUUUUAGUAUUGUAAUUCAGAUCUUUACCUUGUUAUUUUAGGUUAAAAUUCUUUCUAGCUUUGUUUUUAAUAAAGUGCAGUCUCCCUUUAUUUUAUUUUGAGUCUGAUAUUUAUUUCUUUCUUUCUUUAUUUUCUAUCAUACAAUUCUUUCUAUGCUGAUUCUAAUGAUAUGACAUGCAUGAAGAGUUGUCAACCAGAUUUAAAAACCCAAUCUAAUAAUGAAAUAAUGAAUAAAGAAGUUGAAUAUGAUGAAGAAGAAGCAUUAGAAGAUAUAAGCAAAGAUUUUAAACAGUUUGAGAAAAAAUCAAACCCCAAUUUAGAGGAAACUGAAGCGAUCAAUUUAGGAGAUCAUGAAAAUAUUAGGGAGACUAAGAUAAGUGUACAUGCUCAACCACAAUAAAAGAAAGCUAUAAUUGAAGCUUUGCUUAAGUAUAAAGACAUCUUUGCGUGGUCAUAUGAUGAUAUGCCCGGUUUGAGCACCGAUUUGGUAGUUCAUAAAUUGCCAAUUGAUCCUACUUUCCCACCUGUUAAGCAAAAGCUAAGGAAGCUUAAAACCGACAUGAGUGUAAAAAUCAAAGAGGAGAUCUAAGACAUUAUUUAUCACGUCAUGGGGGACAUAUUGUUAUCGAGUUAUGUCGUUCGGACUAAAGAAUGCUGGGGAAACUUAUAUGAGGGCAAUGACUACAAUGUUUCACGACAUGAUGCACAAGGAGAUUGAAGUUUAUGUUGACAAAGUGAUCAUUAAAUCCAGAGAGCAGUUUGACCAUGUCAAAGAUCUUAGAAAAUUCUUUGAAAGGCUUCGAAGGUAUGAUCUCAAACUUAACCCAACAAAACGUGUAUUUGGAGUCCUGUUAGGAAAGCUUUUGGAUUUUAUAGUCAGUCGGCGUGGCAUUGAGUUAGAUCCUUCAAAAAUAAAAGCUAUUCAAGAUUUGCCUCCACCAAAGAAUAAAAUAGAGGUGAUGAUAUUACUUGGAAGGUUGAAUUAUAUCAGUAGAUUCAUUGCUCAGCUUAUGACAACCUGCGGGCCAAUAUUCAAGUUGUUGAAGAAGAAUGCUAAAGUUGAAUGGACAAAAGAAUGUCAAGAGAUAUUUGACAAAAUUAAGAGGUACUUGUCGAAUCCGCCUAUUUUAGUUCCUCCAGAGCCAGGUAGACCCUUGAUAUUGUACAUGUCUGUGUUAGACAAUUCUUUUGGCUGUGUAUUGGGUCAACAUGAUGUCACUGGCAGAAAAGAACAGGCUAUCUACUACCUUAGCAAAAAGUUUACCACUUAUGAGGCUAAGUACACUCUUCUUGAGAACACGUGUUGCGCCUUAACUUGGGUAGCCCAAAAGCUGAAACAUUACUUGUCAUCUUAUACUACUUAACUCAUCUCUCGUAUGGAUCCUUUAAAGUACAUUUUUCAGAAGUCUAUGCCCACAGGCAGACUCGCGAAAUGGCAGAUGUUACACACAGAGUUUGAUAUUGUCUAUGUGACACGAACUGUAAUGAAAGAUCAAGCUUUAGCGGAUCAUUUGGAUGAAAAUCCUAUUGAUGAGGAGUAUGAACCAUUGAAGACUUAUUUUCCAGAUGAAGAGGUAUUGUAUGUUGAUGAGCUUGUUUCUGACGAUUGUCAUUCAGGCUGAAAAUUAUUCUUUGAUGGAGCUGCUAAUGUAAAAGAAGUGGGGAUAGGAGCAGUUCUUAUUUUUAAAUCAGGACAAUACUAUCCUAUAACAGCCCAACUUUGAUUCUAUUGUACCAAUAAUAUGGCAGAAUACGAAGCUUGCAUUCUGGGUUCGAGAUUAGCUAUUGACAUGGGAAUCCAAGAACUGUUAGUUUUAGGAGACUCAGAUUUGUUAGUCCAUUAAAUCCAAGGAGAUUAGAAGACACGUGAUUCAAAGCUCCUACUAUAUCGAGGUUGUUUGCAAGAUCUAUAUCAACCAUUUGUAUCAGUAAAUUUCAAACACAUUCCCAGAGCUCAUAAUAAGAUUGUUGAUGUUUUGGCGACCUUAUCUUCAAUGCUUCAAUAUCCCGACAAAACUUAUAUUGGCCCUUUGCAUAUACAGAUUCAUGAUUAACAUGCAUAUUUCAAUGUGGUUGAGAAAGAACUUGAUGGGGAGCCGUGGUUCCAUGAUAUUAAAGAAUAUAUUCAGACUAGAAAAUAUCCUAUCCAUGUCAAUGGUAACCAAAAGAGAACUAUUCGACGUUUGUCUAGUGGAUUUUUACUAAGUGGAGAUAUCUUGUAUAAGAGGACUCCUGAUUUGGGACUUUUGAGGUGUGUAGAUGCUAAAGAAGCUUCAAAAAUCAUUACUGAAGUACAUUCUGGGAUUUGUGGACCACACAUGAGUGGAUAUGUUUUGGCAAAAAAAAUACUCCGUGCAGGUUAUUAUUGGCUCACCAUGGAGCGAGAUUUCAUCAAUUUCAUUCGUAAAUAUCAUAAAUGUCAAGUACACGGGGACUUGAUACAUUCCCCUGCAUCUGAGUUGCAUACAAUGACUGCUCCAUGGUCUUUUGUGGCUUGGGAAAUAGACGUAAUUGGACCAAUUGAACCAAACGCUUCGAAUAGACAUAAGUUCAUCUUAGUAGCCAUUGAUUAUUUUACGAAGUAGGUGGAAGUAGCAACUUUCAAGUCAGUGACCAAGAAAGUAAUGGUUGAUUUUAUUCACUCCAACAUCAUUUGUUGGUUCGACAUUCCAAAGAUAAUUAUCACGGAUAAUGCUACGAAUCUCAAUAGCCAUCUGAUGCAAGAAGUGUGCCAGCAAUUUAAGAUCAUGCAUCGGAAUUCAACUCCUUAUCGUCCAAAAGCGAAUGGAAUUGUAGAAGCUGCCAACAAGAACUUAAAGAAAAUACUCCGUAAGAUGGUGCAGGGUUCUCGAUAGUGGCAUGAAAAGUUACCUUUUGCUUUGUUAGGCUAUCGUACUACAGUUUGGACUUCAAUUGGUGCAACUCCUUACUUGUUAGUGUACGAAACUGAAGUAGUUAUACCUGCAGAGAUUGAAAUUUCAUCUCUUCGAGUAGUUGUAGAAGCUAAAAUUGAUGAUGACCAAUGGGUCAAUACUCGUUUGGAGCAAUUAAGAUUGAUUGAUAAAAAAAAGAUUAACAUCAGUAUGUCAUAGACAACUAUCCAGAAGAGAAUGGCACGAGCAUAUAACAAAAAGGUGCGUCACAGACAUUUUGAAGUUGGUUAGUAAGUACUAAGACGCAUCCUACCCCAUCAGAUUGAAGCCAAAAGCAAAUUUUAUCCUAAUUGGCAUGGACCAUUCAUGGUGAAGAAAGUGUUACCUAAUGGCGCGUUAUAUCUGAAUGAUAUAGAAGGCAAAAUGGAAGGAAUGCCCAUCAAUGCUGAUGCUGUUAAAAGAUCUUAUGUAUAAUAUUCAUGUACAAUUACAUUAUGUACGUUUUGUACUUGCAUUUUAAAAGAUUGAAAUGAUGAAGGCAUUUUGUUCUACUAUUCGAAUAAUAUAUCAACCUUUGCUUACCCCUUUUGAGAUUUUAUCUUUCUUCGUACCCCUCUUUUGGAAUCAAAUAUGUGAAAAAAAAAGUUGAAAGAAAAAGAUUGAAAUGAUGAAGGCAUUUUGUUCUACUAUUCGAAUAAUAUAUCAACCUUUGCUUACCCCUUUUGAGAUUUUAUCUUUCUUCGUACCCCUCUUUUGGAAUCAAAUAUGUGAAAAAAAAAGUUGAAAGAAAAUAAAAAAAAUCAAUUAAAAAUUCAAAAUCAAGCAAAAGAAAUUUGCCUGAACUACGUUUGACCUGAUUCUUGCUAUGCCAAGAUACGUGGGCAGCCCUACUUCGGGGUUUGGUCCAUCCAAAAGAAAAUUCAAAUUACCCAGAAUGAAAGAAAACUGGGGCAAAAGUUUAUUUUCUUAAAAAAAAAAUCGAUUCCAAAAGUUGAAUAUUUUACCCAAUGUUGUGUAAAUUUUGAUCCUCAUGUCGACCUAUAUUUCUAACUCAGUACAAAAGCAAAGUUACAACAAAAAAAAAGACCUUCAGAUCAAUCUUUCAGAAUAUCAAGGGUAAACAUGUUAUGGGUGCAUGAUAUUUCAUAUUUUGGGUGUUUACUUAAAAAAAGAAGGGAAAAUUGAUGAAAAAGAGAGAGUCUUAUUGGUGAAAACCCUGUUGGGUACCAUAAGGCGACUGUAAGCUGAGAAAGAAAUGAAAAUGAGAUAGGCUUGUUGGCAAAAACCCAUUGAGGUGCCACUAGCCGAAGGAGAGUAGUUAUCCAGAAGAAACAAGUUCAAGAUUGGCUAAAUUUUAAGCUCAAUAAGUGGACAAAAGUUGUAAUGAUUAGUGUGGGUAAAUCUGGUUGUUUGAUUCAAAAUGCAUGUCAUAAUCAUCAGAAUCGAUUUUCACGUUCAGAUAAGUUUUUCUUUUUGUGUUGAAAAAGAAAUGAUUAUUGUCUUUUUCUUUUUCUUUUAUUUUAAUUUUUGAUUUUUGUGUCCUUGUCAUCAAAAAGAAAAUUUUGUUGUCUUGUAUAUGUUUUUGAGUCAAAUUCACGUCAGGUCAAGUGAGAAAUAACUCCAAAUUUACUACCAACUUCUUCAAUGGUAAAAGCAAGACAAAUGGUCGACAUACAAAGAGAACACUUCAAAGUAUAAUGAAGUACUCAGAAUGAUCGUGAUUUGAUAAUUUUUGGCUCAUUGAAAGGUAAAAGGUGUAUGAAAAAUUAAAUCCUGAGAUAUUAUACAAGAGAAAUAUGUCUUAAGUUGAGAGUAUCAGUAGUCAGAAUUUUGGGUCAGAAGUAUGACAAGUCAAUGGAUAUCAAUUUAGGAAUGAAAAGAAGUUGAGCAUGAAAAGUGCAAGAACAGUCAGUUCAAGAGCCAAAUACCACAAACCAACCACAAUGUGUUUUUAAAACUCACAAUUUGUCUUUGUUUUGUUUGAAAAAGAAAGUUUUCAAAUAAAGGAUGCAAUUUCAUACUUUUGUCUAUGCAACAGUCAUGAUUACAACACACAAUGCCGGAAGUUCAGGAGCCCGCCUGAAGAAAAGGGUGAAGAAGUAACAAGUCAAGAGCCCGCCUGAAGAACAGGGUAAGAAAAGAGAAAGCCCAAGAGUCCGCCUGAAGAAUAGGAUGAAGAAAUUGUACGUCCAGGAGCCCGCCUGAAGAAUAGGGUGAAGAAAUUGUAAAUCCAGGAGACUGCCUAAAGAACAGGGUGAAGAAAAAAUGGAAGUUCAGGAGCCCGCCUGAAGAACAGGGUGAAGAAAAAAAGAAGUCCAGAAGCCCGCCUGAAGAACAGGGUGAAGAAAAAAAGAAGUCCAGAAGCCCGCCUGAAGAACAGGGUGAAGAAAAAUGAAAGUCCAGGAACCCUCCUGAAGAACAGGGUGAAGAAAAGAGAAGGCCGAGGAGCCCGCCUGAAGAGCAGGGUGAAGAAAAGAGAAAGUUCAGGAGCCCGCCUGAAGAACAGGGUGAAGAAAAAAUGAAAUUCCAGGAACCCGCCUGAAGAAUAGGGUGAAGAAAAGAGAAAGUCCAAGAGCCCGCCUAAGAACAAGGUGAAGAAAUUAUAAGUCCAGGGGCCCGCCUAAAGAACAGGGUGAAGAAAUUAUAAGUCCAAAAGCCUGCCUGAUAAAUAAGGUGAAGAAAAAAAGAAGUCCAGGAGCCCGCUUGAAGAAUAGGGUGAAGAAAAAAUUAUAAAUCAAGAGCCCGCCUGAAGAACAGGGUGAAGAAAUUGUAAGUUCAGGAGCCCUCCUGAAGAACAGGGUAAAGAUAUUCUAAGUCCAGGAGCCUGCCGGAAGAACAGGGUGAAGAAAAAAGGAAGUCUAGGAGCCUGCCUGAAGAACAGGGUGAAGAAAAAAAGGAAGUCCAGGAGCCCGCCUAAAGAACAAGGUGAAGAAAAUGAAAGUCCAGUAGCCCGCCUAAAGAACAGGGUGAAUAAAAUCAAGUCCAAGAGUCAUCCAGAAGAACAGGGCGAAGGAAAAGCAAGCCAGUAGCCUGCCUAAAGAAUAAGGUGAAUUUUCAAGUUCAAGUCACGAAGAUUAGAAUCAAGAUUCUAGAGAUUGUAAUUUUCAUUUGUAUUUUUCAUUUUUGAUUUUUUGUUAGCCAUUUGAAUGUAAAAGGCAGAAGUCGUUAACUGAAAACUCGACUUAAUAUUAUUCAACUUUUAACUCUUUUUCUCUCCAUAUUACCUUUGAACUAUUCGUGACCUAAUUCCUUAUAACCCGGGAUAGAUAGGAUGUCCAAAAACAGGACUCGGUCACAUUUUUACUUUUAUUUUUAAUUUCAUUUUAUCCUUACCUUUCAAAUAAUUGGAGGGUUAAAAAUCAUAUCUUGUCUACUUUGUAUGAAAACUCUUCGAGAUUCCACACAAAGAGGGGAAAAAAUGUAGACACAUGAUUUUUUAUCUUUCCUAAUUUUAACUCAUUUAUCGAUAUUAAAUAUUUAUAUUUAUAUUUAUAUUUAAUCAUAUAUUAUUUUGAUUCUUAUUUUAUUUUUAAUAAAUUUUUAUUUAAAAAAAUAAAUAAUUAAAUAAAUUUAGCUUUAAGNNNNNNNNNNNNNNNNNNNNNNNNNNNNNNNNNNNNNNNNNNNNNNNNNNNNNNNNNNNNNNNNNNNNNNNNNNNNNNNNNNNNNNNNNNNNNNNNNNNNNNNNNNNNNNNNNNNNNNNNNNNNNNNNNNNNNNNNNNNNNNNNNNNNNNNNNNNNNNNNNNNNNNNNNNNNNNNNNNNNNNNNNNNNNNNNNNNNNNNNNNNNNNNNNNNNNNNNNNNNNNNNNNNNNNNNNNNNNNNNNNNNNNNNNNNNNNNNNNNNNNNNNNNNNNNNNNNNNNNNNNNNNNNNNNNNCCUUAAUCUCUAUAUUUAAUGGUACUUACACUGUUUUCAAAAGGGGAUUCUACGUACAUUCAUUCUCAGACACAUAUAGAUUAUCAGAAAGAGAAAGUUAGAUUGUGAAAAAUAUCAGAUAAAAAGAGAGAAAAGAGGAUGAAGUUGAAUUUGAUUCCGUUUGAGUUUUCAGUGCAGACUGUUUCUCGCUUUAUUUUUCAGUUCAAGUAAUUACAGGUUCUUUUCAAUCUUGAAUCAUUUAUGUUGUAAGUUUAUAGAGGAAAAAAAGUAUGAAUAAAAAUAUCAAGUGAUUUCAUGCUUUAUGAAUGGUUGAUUGAUCAAAAGAAUAUUUGUUAUUAUAUGUUAUGAGAUUAAAAUUAUCGAAUAUUUAUAUAUUUGUACAUGAAAAAGUCUCUAAAUUAAAACUCUGUAUGUUGAUACUAUUAAAUUUAAAAUGGGGACACAAAGGAAAACAGUGAAUCAAAAAAAAUAGAUUCUAUUUCUCACAUGCACACACUGGAACAUGAAUACCUUAUAAACUGCACACAUCACUCACAGAUAUAGCAAUUCACGCGCAUGAAAAUAAAAUACAUGCAUAUAAAAAAUGAGAUUGGAAUAAAAAAUCAACAAAGACAGAAUAGUUGGGAACGGAGAAAAAAUCAGUGAAAACAGAAACGAGAGGGAGAUGAAAAAUUAUUUGAAGGAUAAAAGGAAAAUCAUCAAUCUUUCUCUGAAUUUUUCGGCGAAUUUUCUUGCCGGAAAUACAUCAAAAAAUUCACCAUUGUCUGAAUUCAUUCUAUUUUUGUCAAAAUUUGACCCUUAUAGUUAGUUCUGGCGAACCAACUCGCCGGAAAAACUUCGCCGUCCCUGCGCCGUCACUCCCCUCCCCAGAUCUAGCCGGAAUCUUUUCCAUCGACGAAAAACCGCUGCUGUCGUCCCCUCUCCCAUCCCCAUUCACCGAUGUAACCUAAAACCGGCGUAAUUCCGCCGGUAACCACCCCUGAACCGGCGAAAAAUUACCAGAUCUGCCGUGACUCGUCGAUUUCCUUCCUUUUCCCUUUUCCAGCGAUCUCCAUUGCUGUCAUAAAUAUUGUAAAAAAGUAAAGAAAAAGUUUUUGUUAUUUUUUCUUUUGGAAUACUG
rnacentral:lncRNA from 1 species